GGGCCCGUGGCGGAAUCGGCAGACGCAGCGGACUUAAAAUCCGCUUCCCCGUUGCGGGGAGUGUGGGUUCAAAUCCCACCGGGCCCA
rnacentral:tRNA from 1 species